rnacentral:rRNA from 1 species
UUAAAUUGAAGAGUUUGAUCAUGGCUCAGAUUGAACGCUGGCGGCAGGUCUAACACAUGCAAGUCGAACGGUAACAGGAAGAAG